rnacentral:rRNA from 1 species
UACGAAGGGGGCGAGCGUUGUUCGGAAUUACUGGGCGUAAAGGGCGCGUAGGCGGCGACUCAAGUUAGAUGUGAAAGCCCUGGGCUCAACCUAGGAAGUGCAUUCGAUACUGCGGAGCUGGAGUCCUGGAGAGGAAGGCGGAAUUCUCGGUGUAGAGGUGAAAUUCGUAGAUAUCGAGAGGAACACCGGUGGCGAAGGCGGCCUUCUGGACAGUGACUGACGCUGAGACGCGAAAGCGUGGGGAGCAAACAGG